CAUUAGAUGGCUGAAAAUAAGUAAUGGUCUCUUAAACCAAGGCAUGAUAAUUAAUGAAUAUCUCUAAUGA
rnacentral:tRNA from 1 species